GGGACACGUGGUAUCCUGUCUGAAUAUGGGGGGACCAUCCUCCAAGGCUAAAUACUCCUGACUGACCGAUAGUGAACCAGUACCGUGAGGGAAAGGCGAAAAGAACCCCGGCGAGGGGAGUGAAAAAGAACCUGAAACCGUGUACGUACAAGCAGUGGGAGCACCUUCGGGUGUGACUGCGUACCUUUUGUAUAAUGGGUCAGCGACUUAUAUUCUGUAGCAAGGUUAACCGUAUAGGGGAGCCGCAGGGAAACCGAGUCUUAACUGGGCGUUAAGUUGCAGGGUAUAGACCCGAAACCCGGUGAUCUAGCCAUGGGCAGGUUGAAGGUUGGGUAACACUAACUGGAGGACCGAACCGACUAAUGUUGAAAAAUUAGCGGAUGACUUGUGGCUGGGGGUGAAAGGCCAAUCAAACCGGGAGAUAGCUGGUUCUCCCCGAAAGCUAUUUAGGUAGCGCCUCGUGAAUUCAUCUUCGGGGGUAGAGCA
rnacentral:rRNA from 1 species